rnacentral:rRNA from 1 species
GGAUGCGAUCAUACCAGCACUAAAGCACCGGAUCCCAUCAGAACUCCGAAGUUAAGCGUGCUUGGGCGAGAGUAGUACUAGGAUGGGUGACCUCCUGGGAAGUCCUUGUUUUGCAUUCC